rnacentral:rRNA from 1 species
CUCCUACGGGAGGCAGCAGUGGGGAAUAUUGGUCAAUGGGCGAAAGCCUGAACCAGCGACGCCGCGUGAGUGAUGAAGGCCUUCGGGUUGUAAAGCUCUGUUGGAGGGGGACGAAAAAGGUGAGGUCAAAUAGGCCUUGCUGUUGACGGUACCCCUUCAGAAAGCACCGGCUAACUCUGUGCCAGCAGCCGCGGUAAGACAGAGGGUGCAAACGUUGCUCGGAAUUACUGGGCGUAAAGCGCGUGUAGGCGGGCAUGCAAGUCGGGAGUGAAAUCCCCAGGCUCAACCUGGGAACUGCUCUCGAAACUGCGUGCCUAGAGUGCCGGAGAGGGAAGCGGAAUUCCUGGUGUAGAGGUGAAAUUCGUAGAUAUCAGGAGGAACACCGGUGGCGAAGGCGGCUUCCUGGACGGUGACUGACGCUGAGACGCGAAAGCGUGGGGAGCAAACAGGAUUAGAUACCCUGGUAGUCCACGCUGUAAACGAUGAGUGCUAGGUGUCGCGGGUAUUGACCCCUGCGGUGCCGUAGGAAACCCGUUAAGCACUCCGCCUGGGGAGUACGGCCGCAAGGCUAAAACUCAAAGGAAUUGACGG